rnacentral:rRNA from 1 species
CGUAGGUGGCAAGCGUUGUCCGGAAUUAUUGGGCGUAAAGCGCGCGCAGGCGGUUCCUUAAGUCUGAUGUGAAAGCCCCCGGCUCAACCGGGGAAGGUCAUUGGAAACUGGGGAACUUGAGUGCAGAAGAGAAGAGCGGAAUUCCACGUGUAGCGGUGAAAUGCGUAGAGAUGUGGAGGAACACCAGUGGCGAAGGCGGCUCUUUGGUCUGUAACUGACGCUGAGGCGCGAAAGCGUGGGGAGCAAACAGGAUUAGAUACCCUGGUAGUCCACGCCGUAAACGAUGAGUGCUAAGUGUUAGAGGGUUUCCGCCCUUUAGUGCUGCGGCUAACGCAUUAAGCACUCCGCCUGGGGAGUACGGCCGCAAGGCUG